UACACUCCUACGGGAGGCAGCAGUGGGGAAUAUUGGACAAUGGGCGCAAGCCUGAUCCAGCCAUGCCGCGUGAGUGAUGAAGGCCCUAGGGUUGUAAAGCUCUUUCACCGGAGAAGAUAAUGACGGUAUCCGGAGAAGAAGCCCCGGCUAACUUCGUGCCAGCAGCCGCGGUAAUACGAAGGGGGCUAGCGUUGUUCGGAAUUACUGGGCGUAAAGCGCACGUAGGCGGAUCGAUCAGUCAGGGGUGAAAUCCCAGGGCUCAACCCUGGAACUGCCUUUGAUACUGUCGAUCUGGAGUAUGGAAGAGGUGAGUGGAAUUCCGAGUGUAGAGGUGAAAUUCGUAGAUAUUCGGAGGAACACCAGUGGCGAAGGCGGCUCACUGGUCCAUUACUGACGCUGAGGUGCGAAAGCGUGGGGAGCAAACAGGAUUAGAAACCCUAGUAGUCCCA
rnacentral:rRNA from 1 species